UGUCCACAUUGUCUUUCUAGAUUUCAGGUUUCACUCUUGUCAUGUUUCUCUGAUACCAGCAUAUGGUUGAUCAUUACUGUUUUGUGCACAUUCAUUGUUUCUCUUUAUACAUUCCAGCUUCUUCAAUUUGACCCUGUUUCCUCAUUGUGGAGCACAUACAUCUAAUCUGUGCUUUUUUCCUUUGCAAAGCAACAACUUCACUCAUAGUUGGAUGAAAGAUAAGAAGUGGAAAAAGAAGGGGAAAACUUUCAGUCAAUUAAAUUUUAAAAAAAUAAACUUAUGAAGAAAAUGGAGGAUGCAGAGGUUAAGCCAAGUAGUAUGAUAGAUCAAGCUUUUCUCCCUAUUAUUGACUCAGCAGGAGUCUCCCCUUCUGUUGCUUCUCCAGCUCAUUCAUCUAGCGUUUGUAGAGCUGCUUCACAAGACAAAGAGAAAGACGAGGAAGCUUUCAUGGACCUUUCUGGUUUUAUAUUUUUGUGCAAUAGAGAGACAAAACUCGAUUGUUUCAGAUUUCGUGUUUUUGGGGUUGGUUCAAAUAAAAAGGAAAUGGUAGAAAAGAUUAAACCUCAAACAAAGCUCUUCCUCUUUGAUAUUGAGUUGAGGCUUUUGUAUGGGGUGUAUGAGGCAACAUCCACUGGAGGAAUAAACUUGGAAGCACAUGCUUUUGGAGGCAAAUUUCCAGCACAGGUGAAAUUUUAAAUUUUUAAGGAAUGUCUUCCCUUGCAAGAAUCUUCUUUCAGACACACCAUAAUGAACAAUUAUCAUCGCAGAAAGUUUGAACCCGAAUUAAAUGGUUAUCAAGUGAGGAGUCUAUUAUCCUUAUUUUGUCCCCCGACUGCAUCAGCAACAGCAGCAGUUGUGUCCCAUCCAUUGGCACCGUGUUUGGCUAAUGUUGGCUUGCCAAAGAUUAUGCCUGCCUUGGUUGUGGAAGAUCAAGUUAAGUUGUUGUCGUAUCCUCAGGAAGUUGGUUCAUCAAUGGCCAAUGUUGGCCCACUAAAUACUAAUCCUGCUUUUGCUAAGGAACAUCAGGAUGAACCCAAGCACCAUCCUCGUUUGUCAUCCGCUUUUGUCGAUGAGCAAAAUGUUGGUGAUGCUGUAGAAAUUGAUUCAUCUGAGGACACCGAAGGUGAAUCUGACUGGCAGGAUGAUAUUUCUGGCUUUAUAUUCAUGUGUGGUAGAAAUACAAAACAUGAUUGUUACAGAUUCCGUGUUUUUGGGCUUCCUUCGAAUAAACAAGAAAUGAUAAAAAAGAUUAAGCCAGGAGCAAAGCUUUUCCUGUUUGAUUUCGAAGCAAAGCUUCUGUAUGGUGUAUAUGAGGCAACAUCCACUGGAAUAAUAAACUUGGAACCACUUGCUUUUGGAGGCAAAUUUCCAGCACAGGUGAAAUUUCGAAUUUUUAAGGAAUGUCUUCCCCUGCCAGAAGCCUCUUUCAGACACGCUAUAAAGGGCAAUUAUCGUGACAGAAAGUUUGAACCCGAAUUAAAUGAUCAUCAAGUGAGGAAUUUAUUAUCUUUAUUUCAUCCCCUACCUGCAUCAGUAACAGCAACAGCGGUGCCCCAUCCACUGAAAAAGGUGGGCCAGUCUUUUGCUAAUGUUGACAUGCCAAAGAUUACACCCGCUUGGGCUAUGGAAGACCGGGUUAAGUUGCUGUCCUGUCCCCAGGCAAAAGUGGGUUCAUCAUUGGCCAAUGUUCCACCACCAAAUACAAUUCCUGCUUUGUAUAUGGAACAUCAUGCUAAGUAUUCCUCGAUGCCCACUUCUGUGGAGAAUCCAUAUAUGACCAGAAUGCAGCACGUUCAUCCUCCACCCAUUGUGGAAUCUCAACGAGUCUAUGAACUCCAAAGUGCUCAGCAUGGAUGGCCUAGAACCACGAGCUUCAUGGAGAGUGCUCUUACAGUUGCAGAACCUAAACAGUUGACUGCUCCCAGGCAUGCAUAUUCUCAUCAACCAUAUGUCACUCAAGGCAUUUCAACUGAUAUACGGAAUCCAUAUCACAGGUAUGGAUCAAUGCAAAGUGGGGUCGUGUCGCAGCCACAUCUCAUGGUGCUAAAUGACAGGAAUUACCAAUUGUACUCGGGAGUAGAGCGAGGAAUGCUGCCACCUCACGAGAGUAGUGCUACACGCAACUACUUCUUUGGCCCUUCAGCUCCUUAUGCUCCUCCAGUUCUGCAGCAAUAUGCUUCAUCAGAAGCUGCAAUACUGGAAGGGACUUCUUCCAUGUCAUACCAGCGUUCCCUUAUAAGGCGUUAUGGGUAGACUUUUGAUGAUUAGGUUGUUAUCGGAAUGAUAUGCAUGUAAAAGAAUAUCACCAAUAGUCUCAACUUUCUUUCUGAAGACAUCUGUUGUGCCCUGGAGUCAAAAUGUAGAUUACUUUUAGGAAGCUAGCCCUCUCUCUCUAAAAACUAAUAUUAUCAGUUGUGUGGCUAAUAGUGGUAAACUUAGAAUUUGCUUUAUUCA